GUGAGGCUGCCCAGAUUCCCAAAUAGCAAUUCUCUCUAUCUCUCUCUCUCUCUCUCUCUCUCUCUCUCUCUCUCUCUCUCUUUUUUUUUUUUUUUCCUCUAAGAAACAGGGUCUUACUAUGUUGCUCAGGCUGGUCUCAAACUCCUGGCUUCCAGCAAUUCUCCCUCAGCCUCCCAAAGUGUUAGGAUUACAGGCAUGAGCUACCACACCUGACCAGAAAUGUUCUUGUCUUCAUAGGAGCGUGGGUUACACAGAUGAAUGCAUUUGUCCAAACUCAUCAAACUCUAGACUUUAAGAUCUAUGCCUUUCACCAUAUGCAAAUUAUACCACAAUAGAAGAAGAAAAUGACUUGCCACAUCUCACAACCAAAUGAGCAGCGCAGCUCCUAAGUGGAGAUGGCAGCUCAGGGCCGAGGGAGCAAAUUUUCCAGAAGAGAUGGACAGAGAAGUGGGUCUGAAAGGGCUCUGGGGACAGGGUCAGCCUUGAGUUGACGGAACACCUGGGGCAUGGAGCUCUCUCCAGGCGAGUGACAGCUACAUGGAUGAAGCUGAAGGGUGGAGCUGGAGGUGUCUAGGGUGCAAGCCAGGCCUGCAAAGGUCAAAGGGAGAGAAACAAUGAGGCCAUGUGGCCCCAACUGUUGGUGGUUUCCUCGGAGCGUCAGAGGCUGCUGACAUUGCCCAGCUGGGCAGCAUCCUGGGAACAGAGAGGGUGGACUCAACAGCACAGAGAGGCAAGGGAAAGGGUGAGACCCCAGUGCUGAGGGUCGAGCCUCUGGUUUAUCCACACUGCUUCUUCCCAAAGUCCCUUGAGCUAGAGCAGCGGGAUGGGCAUGAGUACUUCCUGAGUCUGUCUCCCACCCAGUGACCACACAGCAAAGCCAGGGCAGCUGCGCAUGGCUUCCUGGUAGAAAGCCCCUCUCCCACCCAUGGAAGUCAGACUCCAUGAGCCUCUCCCCACUGCUCUCAGGCCGCCAGCCCCACCGUCUGCCUUGUUCCACUCAGAUGGGGUGAGACCAGCACCCGCCCUUGAACCAGGGCCUGACUCCACCCCACAUGCCCCUCAUCCCCUGGGUAACACAUCUAACCUGCCACCUGGGAGGAACCGGAAGCCCUGCUGAAGGUUAGAUGCCUCGGGCAUCAGGCAUGAACUGUGGCUCUGCCACUGACCAGCUGGGAGAACUUGAGCAGUUCCCAGAGCUCUGUGACUUGGUUUCCCCACUUGGAAAAUGAGGGUACUAAUCAUACUCAUGGGAUUGUAGUGAGGCUAAAAUGAGCUAAGGCAUUAAAUAAAUUAUAUAAAAUAAGCUCCUAGUUUCUAACAGUACAAUGUUACAAGUGAAUUAGCAUUUUUCUUUUUUUUCUUUUUUUUUCUUUUUUAUUAUGCUUUAAGUUCUAGGGUACAUGUGCACAACUUGCAGGUUUGUUACAUAGGUAUACGUGUGCCGUGUUGGUUUGCUGCACCCAUUAACUCGUCAUUUACAUUAGGUAUUUCUCCUAAUGCUAUCUGUCCCCCAGCCCCCCACCCCACGACAGGCCCCGGUAUGUGAUAUUCCCCACUCUAUGUCCAAGUGUUCUUAUUGUUCAAUUCCCACCUAUGAGUGAGAACAUGCGGUGUUUGGUUUUCUGUCCUUGCGAUAGUUUGCUCAGAAUGAUGGUUUCCAGCUUCAUCCAUGUCGCUUCAAAGGACAUGAACUCAUCCUUUUUUUAUGGCUGCAUAGUAUUCCAUAGUGUGUAUAUGUGCCACAUUUUCUUAAUCCAGUCUAUCACUGAUGGACAUUUGGGUUGGUUCCAAGUCUUUGCUAUUGUGAAUAGUGCCACAAUAAACAUACAUGUGCAUGUGUCUUUAUAGUAGCUUGAUUUGUAAUCCUUUGGGUAUAUACCCAGUAAUGAGAUCACUGGAUCAAAUGGUAUUUCUAGUUCUAGAUCCUUGAGGAAUUGCCACACUGACUUCCACAAUGGUUGAACUAGUUUACAGUCCCACCAACAGUGUAAAAGCAUUCCUGUUUCUCCACAUCCUCUCCAGCACCUGUUGUUUCCUGACUUUUUAAUGAUCGCCAUUCUAACUGGUGUGAGAUGGUAUCUCACUGUGGUUUUGAUGUGCAUUUCUCUGAUGGCCAGUGAUGAUGAGCAUUUUUUCAUGUGUCUGUUGGCCGCAUAGAUGUCUUCUUUUGAAAAGUGUCUGUUCAUAUUCGUUGCCUACUUUUUGAUGGGGUUGUUUGAUUUUUUCUUGUAAAUUUGUUUAAGUUCUUUGUAGAUUCUGGAUAUUAGCCGUUUGUCAGAUGGGUAGAUUGCAAACAUUUUCUCCCAUUCUGUAGGUUGCCUGUUCACUCUGAUGGUAGUUUCUUUUGCUGUGCAGAAGCUCUUUAGUUUAACUAGAUCCCAUUUGUCUAUUUUGGCUUUUGUUGCCAUUGCUUUUGGUGUUUUAGCCAUGAAGUCCUUACCCAUGCCUAUGUCCUGAAUGGUAAUGCCUAGGUUUUCUUCUAGGGUUUUUAUGGUUUUAGGUCUAACAUGUAAGUCUUUAAUCCAUAAGUAUCCCGGAAUUAGACAGUGGUGAUGGUUGCCCAACUCUGUGAAUCUACUAAAUGCCACUGAAUCAUACACUUUAGAAAGGGGUGAAUAUUAUGGUAGAUGAAUUAUACGUAAUAAAAAGUUAUUUUAAAAAGUUAAGCAUGUAUUUACCAUAUGACCCAGAAAAAUCCCAUUUCUAAAGUAUUUCCCAAGAGAAAUAAAAGCAUGGGAGUUGAUUGAAUUGGGACAAAGGUGGAAGCAGGCGGAAGUGGUGGGCCUCCCCUGAGGCCCUCCUGGCAGCUCGGCCUGUCCUCCACUCUUUGCUAGGGAUUUGGCUACGGGUAAUUCAGAUGGCAGCUCCCAGCCUGGGGCCUUGGAGCAGGUUUGACUAUGCACUUGUAAUAGGGAUGCCGUUUUCUGUUGACUGUUAAACUGGAGCAUUCUGCUUGCUUCCUUUCUUCUAGCACUUGAACCUUGCAGCCCUCCACCUCUCCUCUGGGGCAGGAGGGGCCUGACUCCUUGGGAAGGCUUUGUGGUCUAGCUCCUUCUCCCUAUUUAAGUUUGGUUCACUGACCAGCGGCCUGAGCAUCACUUGGGCGCUUAAUAGAAACGCAGAGUCUUUGGCCCCCCCUCCUCCGCCAGACCAGCUGAGUCUGAAUCUGCCUUUAACAAGGCCCCAGGCAACCCACGCGCUCAGGGGAGCUGGAGCAGUGUGUUCUUUUCAGAGCAUGCAAGUUGAGCUGCUCACCAUUAAGGCUUAACCAGUAGACUACACAAGGAAUGAGGAAGGAAAUUUCACCCUCAUAUCCUUGAGAGCCCCGGUUAUGGGUUGAAUUGUGUGUCUCCCAAAAGACAAAGGUUGAAGUCCUGACCCCUAGCACCUCAGAGUGUGACUGUGUUUGGAGGUAGGGUCUUUGCAGAUGUCAUUAGUGAAGGUGAGGUCAUACUGGAGUAGGCUGGGCCCUGAUCCAAUGUGACUGGUGUCCUCAUUAGAAGAUGAUCACAUGAAGACAGAGACACCCGGAGAACGCCAUGUGACAGCAGAGGCAGAGAUUGGAGUGGAGCAUCUAUAAGCCCAGGAACGUAAAUAUUGCCUGCAAACUCCCAGAAGCUGGAAGAAACAAGGAAGGCUCCUGCCCUACAGGUUUCAGAGGGAAACGUGGUCCCGCUGACACCUUGAUUUCAGACUUCGGGCCUCCAGAACUGUGAGACCAGACAUUGCUAUGGUUUUAAGCCACAUGGCUCGAGGUGCUUUGUUAUGGCAGCUCUAGGAAUCUAAUACAGUGCCCAAGACAGAGGGACCAUGCUGUCCUCCCAGAUGACUCCCCCUGUGCCUACCUGUGACAGUGACCAUAGCUAGUAAACCAGGGGCUCACAAUGUCUUUAGGCUGAAGGGGGCCUUCAAGUUGAGUGUCCCCAGGACAUGCUUAGCCUUCAUGUGACCCGGAUGCCCCCGAGUGUUCUGGCAGCCCUGGAGAGGCACACUGUCGGGCAGCUGAGCCGAGAGCCUGUGAGCUGGCCUAUAAUCCACGGCUGAGACUCAGAGGGGUGUCCCAGCCUGCCGGCUCCCCAUUCAGGCCAAGUCAGCUGAGGAGGGCCUGUCCACGCGCAGAGGGUCCAGACCACAUGCUCUGCCAGCCCAUGACCUCGGCACUGGAGGGCACAAGAGACAGAAGGGCAGUGACAGCUGGGACGAGAGGAAGAGCGGAUCUCAGAUGCUCCCAGGCUCUCGGCGCUCGCGGGUAGGAAGGUCUUCUGGAUUCCCUAAGAAUGUGCUACUCAGUGGGGGGGAGGAGGAGCAAGGAAGUGGCCACCGUUGGCUGCCUGUGCCCAGCAGGUCCACAUUCCCUGCUCUGAUGAGGUGGCUGCAUGUGAGGGGAUUUCACGGUGCCCCUUAGCCAGUCACAGGUCAUUGGGACCCAGGCAAAGGAAAUCCUGAGGGUCCAAGGGAAGCCUGGAUAAGAGAAACAUCUUCAAUGCCUUCCUCUCUCAUUUCCCCACCCUGCAAAGCACUGGCAUUGGGCAGUGCAAGGGAACUUCCUCCUUCCCUCUCUCCCUUCCUUCCUCUUUUCUUUCCUCUCACUCCUUUCCUCCCCCACUCCCUCCCCUGUGCACCUGUCUCCUGCCCAGCACACCUGGAGAAGGCUGCUCUGGGAUUAAUUCAGACUUAGAUGAUGGGAGUGAAGCCGCACCCCCGUCAGAGGGAAGCACUUUGGACCCAGCCACCUGUUUCCCCCGUUUGAUGAGGGAAACCAUGCCUGGCAAAGCACCGCUCCCCAGCCAGGGCAGCAGGCCAACCUGCUGUCACUGCGCCUUAAUCACCCCCACGCCCAGGCGGCACCGUCGGCAGGGCCUUUUAAUAGCAAUAGCACAGGGACAACCAGCUCACAGAGCUUCUCUGUCCCCUACAGACAGGCACCACAGAACCCUGGGAGACAGAAAGCUAAACAAGCCCAGCCUCCCUGCCUCACGCCUCGGGGCUGACUGGCUCUGACGUGGUUCGGCUGUGCUGUUCCAGCCUGGGACGGAGCACCCCGCUGCUUGGCCUUUUCCGUGCCUGCAUCCCCAGCAGGCUCUAACUGGGAUUUGCUGGGGACUCACUCCAGGCCAGGAGAGGGCCUGUGAGCUCUGGCAGUUUGUGCCGUGUGUGGGCAACAGAUCUGAGAAACGCUGUUUAAUAGGGUUGCCUCAAGCACAUUUUCAAGAUGAACACAGGAAGACUAGCAAAGUGGUGAAUAGUUUGGACUUUGGAGUCAGGCGGUUCAAGUUCAAAUCCAGUGUCCUUGAGCACCCGCUAAGCUCCCUGAGCCACACCUAAGAGUUAAAUGGCACAGUGUGUGCAAAAGCUGCUAAAAUCAGGCCGAGAAGUCGACAAUGAAGGGAAGACGGAAGGGAUUGUGAGGUCUGGGAAGUGUCUGGAAAAACGUCGCAUCGCAGAAGGCCUGUGGUGUUAGGAUAUGCGUUUUGGUUUUUGUCCAGGUUCCUGGCUCCCAGCACCCACAUUCCUUGUUAGAAUGCUGGGGCGCCUUAGGACUCAGGAAACAGAAUCUCUCUCUGACCUUCUGCUGUUUUUCUUUCACUUGCCCACGGCGGGAUGCUAAUCUGUUUGUGGAUCAAAAAACCCUCACUCCACAGAAAGUCCUGCCCCAUACCCUAGAGGAAGGAAUGCUGCUUAGAGAAGCCAAGAAAAGUCCGAGCAGGCCGGCCUUGCUGGGUUUAAGUCACACGCUUUCUGUCCGGUCACACUUCCGCGUGGUUGUCAAGCAUGCCCGUGCAUCGGAGCCUCCAUAAAAACCCACGAGGACAGGGUCCGGGAGCUUGCGGAUACCUGAACCCGUGGAGGCUCCUGGAGGGUGGCACGCCCAGGAUGGGCACCGAAGCUCCAGGCACCUUCCCCCAUAUCUCGUCCUGUGCUUCUCUUUAUCUGUACCCUUUGUGACAUUCUUUCAUAUAAACUGGUAAACGUGUUUCCCUGAGUUCUGUGAGUCGCUCCAGCAAAUUAAUCAAACACAAAGUGGGAGUUGUAGGAACCCCAACUUGAAGCCAAUGGGUCAGAAGCUCUGGAGGCCUGGCCCUGCGACUGGUGUCUGAGGGCUGAGGGGUACUCUUGGGACACUUGAGCCCUCCCCCUCUGGCAUCUGACGCUAUGUAUCUCUGGGUAGAUAUUAAAUAGGCCCAUUAAACAGUAAAUCUCAGGUCUGAUGCCCACACAGGGCAUGAGCUUCAAGAGUUCACAAACCAUUGUCUUUGACUGAUGAAUGCCUGUUUGUGGGUUCAUCAGUCAAUUCACGACUUGCAAGACUGCCCUCCAGAGCUGACACUUCACGGAGCUGUUUACUCACUGCUGGGUAACAUUCCUUUGAACGUUCUUAGGCUCUUUACAAAUGUUAAUUUAUUUAUGUCCAUAGCUCAUGGUUAGGUAGACGGUAAAUGUUCUUUCAGGUGAUGAGCGUAUUCAGCACCCAGAGAGGUGGAGGGGUGGGUUCAAAAUCACACAGAAGCCCACUGGGGCUGACUGUAUUUGUCAUGAGGACCAGUAUGUAUCACCAGGAGUUAAAAUGUCACUUUGUCACUCUUUCAAGCUAAAUGUCAAGAAAGCAAUUAGGGAUGACCCAAAGGCUUGGAGGCCGGGAACAGCCUAGCCAUCCGGGAGGCCGCAUGUGGCUCCCUGUGGCUGGUGCAGGCUUUAGGAAGGAUGGUGAGAGGUGUGCUGGGAGGGCAGGUGUCACGGCUGCUUCGUGACACCUUACCUUACUUGCUUAGCUUACACCAAGUAAGGUGUGAGGUGACCACACCACGUUAGCAAAGACAAAACAAAGAUAUCGGGGUUCUGUGAUGCCAGCCAGGGAAACAGGUGGUGAAUGCUCAGGAGCCCAGCCUGAGGCUGAGAGCCCAGCUGGGGACGCUGUGGGAGACAGCCUGGGGACAGAGAGGUAUUGAUCCAGAGGACAGACCUCCAGGGAUAGAAAGGGCCUGACAAUGGCCUGCUGGGACGUGGGUGAGGGAAGAGGUGAGGGGUGAAGGAAAGUGGUCAUCUGCAAGCCAGAGGAUACAGCAGGAGAAGGGGUCUGGAGAGAGAGACUGGGGUGCGCGCAGGACCUCCCAUCUCUGGUCACUGCUGUGUCCUGCAGGCAGCUCAGCUUCUGGCUUCCCUGGGAAAGUGCCCCACAGCCAUCUAGAAAAAAACGAAUUAUCUCCCCUCUUCAUCGCUGCCUCCCCUCAUAGGUGGGUUAGAAUCACAGGACACCACAGCUGGAAGGAAGCUUAGCAACGGUUAAGUCAGCCCCUCUGUGGCAGAGAAGGGGACACCCACGGUCACAAGGUCUGAGCUGUCUGUGGCAGAAUCAAGACUCUCAGACCCAGAGUCCCAGGAGACAGCCAAGGACGUGUUCUCAAUGCUUUGAUGACCUUCUCGUCACCAAGACACUCAUGUCUGAUUUCUCUCCCCGCGGACCCCAUGUUUUAAAAGAUUUUCAUUCACCAAAACAACUGCAUUUAUUAAGUAAUAAUUUAUUCAUUUUCCCAUUUUUAAAAUUAAUCAAAGAUACACAUAACUGCCAGCCUGAGAGCCAGAGUCUCUGAUCAGCAGGCAAUAACCCUUAUUACCACCAUGGGUUGAUUUAAUUUCUGCCAAAAGCAAAGACACUUGACAUUUUAGACAGCCUGAACAGCUUCAUUGUGCGAAAGUGGAGGUUUUCCAUUACACUUAGUGAAAUAUUCAAAAUAGCUCCCAGACCCUGGUCAAUAAUUCAUGGCACCCUUGGCCUCCAGGGAUCCCUGCUGGGAACCACCGCACCAUAUCAUUUGUGCAGGAGGUAAGAUGCAAAGGGAAUCUCACUGUCCUAGAGUCUCAGCAGCAAACUGUUAAGGGAUUUGUAGCCUGGAUCCAGUCAGAAGCCUUGGACAAACCACUCAGUCUUCCCUGAGCCUCAGGUUUCCCAUCAGUAAGGUGGGAAUAAGAUAUCAGUCAGGGUUCCUAGUUGCAAACAACAGAAAUAAACUCUGCUUAUAUUAAGGAUAAAAUAAUGUAUUAAAAGGAUACUGGGAAAAAUAGCUUGGCAGUUCCUCCACAAGUUAAACAUAGAAUCACUAUAUGACCCAGCAAUUCCAUUCCUAGGUCUAUAUCCGACAGAAUGGAAAAUAGGUCUCCACACAAAAACUAGUACAUGAAUAUUCAUAGCAGCUCUAUUCACAAUCACCAAAAGCUGGACACAACCCACUGUCCAUCAACAAAUGAAUGGGUAAAAAAAAUGUAAUAUAUCCAUGCAGUGGGAUAUUGUUUGGCCAUAGAAAGGACUGAAGCUCUGACACAUGUUACAACAUGCAUGGGCCUUGAAAACAUUCAAGGAAAGAAGUCAGACCACAGAAUGUAUGGUUCCAUUCAUAUCAAACACCCAGAAAGGGCAAAUCCAUGGAGAUGGAAUGCACUCGUGGUUGCACGGGACCGUGUGGGGAAGGGAGGAAUGAAAGCGGCUGCUUCCUGGGUACAGGGUUUCCAUUUGGGUGAUGAAGUUCUAGAACUAGAGAGUGGUGAUGGCUGCACAACAUUGAGAAAGUAUUUGAUGUCACUGGAUUGUACACAUGAUGUCUGGCAAGUCGCAGAGCAGCUGGGUGUGUGGGAACCAUGCCCGUGACUGGUCCUCAGGGAUGCUGCUGCUGCAGCCGCUGAGGGUCCUAGUUGCUGGGUGCUGCACCUGCACUGCUGACCCAGGGUCUCCAUGGCCUGCAGCUGUGCUAGCUGCCCGAGAGAGGGCCUUGGGGGCCCCUGAGACUCUGGGCAAAUGCCUCUGAUUGGCUGCCUCACAUCCCAGCUUACACCGUAAGGACGGCUGAGAAAGCAAGUCCCUGGCAUUUUUAUCUUCUGCUGUGGGAGUCAGUCCCUGCCUCCCACUGAGACACAGGAGGGGGAAUUCUCCUAAACACAGGAAGGCGGCAGAGAGGUGCUUCAGGACCACCAGCGUGUGCAGAGUUAACGACUGCUUCAAAGACAGAAGAGAACCUGUCUGAGGCGUGUGGUGCAUGGGGGAUGUGCAGGAAAUGCUAAGACAGGGGCAGAUCACAAAGUCUAUAUUGCUCUCUAAAGGUUCUUCAUGGGUGGCAACUUUCCCUCCCCUCUUCAGCCUCCUCUGAACGCCCCCCACCACUGCCACCACACAAAAACUCAUUAGUCAGAGACAGUUGCUCUCUCACCUUUCCUAUCUAGAUGUUUCUAAACUUUGAACAAGAUGAUAAUCGCAGCUGCUCAUUUGUCUAGCAGACACUAAUCCUUGCCUCUGGGCUCUGUGAUGUGCUUUGCAGUUUAGCACAAGGACCUUGCUGCUGUCCACUUAGAAACCCAGUAAUGGUGAGAUGGUGCUCAGGAGCGGGCUGGAGCUGUGGGGACCUGGUCUGCCCUCUGCGCCAGGUGACAAAGCCCCUGUCUUCUGUUUGGCCACGAUCCCCAUGGUACCAUUCACAGCCCCUCCCAGCUGGGUGUGAGGGUGGGGCGCUUUGGAAGGUCUUGCCUCUAAUCUCCUAUACAGACAAUUCCAGAAGUAAAUAGAAGCAAAAUAGGAUGCGAGUUAGGUUUUGUUUUGUUUUUUUGUUUUUAAGGGGUAAAUCUUGAUAUAAUUUUAAAAUUUCACAGAAGUUGCAAAUGUAGUACAAAGAGCUCCCAUAUACCGUUCACCCGGAUUCAACGAUGGUUUAACAUUUUAUGCCAUUUGCUUUUUCACUUCUCUCUUCCUCCUCCUCCCUUUUCUCUCCUUCUCCCUCCCCCCACAGACUCUGCCAUUUUACCUCUAAAUGCUCCAGUGUGUAUUUCCCAAAAACAAAUACCAUCUUGUACAUGAUCACAGUGUAAUUAUCAAAAUCCGGAGACUUAACACUGAUACAAUAUUAUUACCUUAAUCCUCAGCCCAUAAUCAAAGCUCACCAAUUGCCCAAUAAUGCCCACUAUAGCUUUUUGGAGAUUUUCAAGAUGUCGAUUUCUAGUUUAAUUUCACUGUGGUCAGAGAACAUGCUCCCCAAAAUGUCAACCUUUUGAGAUUUACUACAUCUAAUUCUCUGGUUCCUCCCUUGUCUCCCCAGCACUCCAGCUGGCUCCUUCUGGAAGUUUCCCUGGACUCUCUGCCACUCAGGCAUAGCUGAGAGGUCAGUUGAAGACCUGGGGGAAUUUCUACACAGGUUUUAGGGCUCCCCCCUUGCUCCUUUCUUUUUUUUAAGUCUUUUCAUUUUUAUUACUCAAAAAAACUUUAGGUCUUACAGCAAGAACCCCUCGAAGUCUGCCUGGGCACACGCCACAUGCAGAUUUUGGUGCUUUCCCAACCUUCUUGGUAUAAAGGUAAACAAUUCCAUUACCAGGGGUUCGGGGGAGCCUAGUUUUGUUAAAGGCUGUAUUUCAGGAAAGCCUACGACAGUAUGUCAAACGCCGGACCAUUCUGAGUGCCUGCAGACAACAUCCCUGGAAGUGCUCCCUUCCUCCUUUCCGCCUGGCGUUUCCCCCCUCAUUUUCCAGCCAUUUAGGAAUCGCUUCUCAUCCGCUGAGCCCUCAAGGCAGUGAGAGAGGCUGUACUUUCUGUAUCAGCCCCAGCUGGAAAGCCAGGCAAACCCUCAUCCCUUACAGAUGGACACUCUUCCGGUUUCUGCCUGUUCUUAACCACUUUCCAAUAGUUCUUUAAGAAACUUUAAAUAGUUUCUUAACUAUUUGAAGAACUAUUUAAAGAAGAACUAUUUAUUAAAUAGUUUAUUAUCUAUUUGAAGAACUAUUCAACUGAAGAACUAUUUGCCUUCAAAUAGUUCUUUAAGAAAACAUUUUUUUGUCCAGAGUUUAUACAUCAACACACACACACACACACACACACACACACACACACGUGCACAGACACAUAUAAUUAGGAAUGCAUCUUGUUUGUGUCUCAUUCCGUAAUAUGUUACUAUCACUCAAAAUAGUACAAACUCGACCCUAAUAUGACAACUUUUAAUUUUGGUUGGAUUCACCAGAUUCAAUUGUUUAUUUAUCUGAUUUCAUUAUAUCAUGAUUUCUCCUUAACAUUCAUGAAAAGGUCUUUUGGGGACUUAAUGUAAGUGACAACAGAAUUCAGUGUGAUGAAACCAAACAUAUAUGAAAUGAACCAGAUGCCAUAUGGUUAAACCUAUGAAUAUGUCAACCAGCAAUUCACUGGCGCAUAAAUGUGCAAAUGAGGAAACGUUCAAACACUUCAGCUUGUAUUUUACAAAACAGUGUUUAAAUAUUUGACAUAGUUUAGUAAUAUUUUAGAAAAAUGGCCUACCUAGUCUGGAUGAUGUAUGCGUUUGCUGGGGUUACUAUAAGGAAGUUACACACACUGGGGGCAUAAACAGCAGAAGGUUAUUGCCGGGUAGUCAUGGAGCCUGUGAGUCCAGGAUCAAAGUGUCAGGUUUGGAUUCUCCUGCAGCCUCUCUCCUUGGCUUGCAGACUUCCCUCUCUAUGUGUCUGUAUCCCAAUUGCCUCUUUUUUUAACGUUUAUUUGAAGUUCAUGGGUACAAAUGCAGGUUUGUCACAUAGGUAAACUUGUAUCAUGGGGGUUUGUUGUACAGAUUAUUUCAUCACCCAGGUAUAUUAAGCCUACUUCCCAUUCAUUAUCUUUCCUGAUCCUCUCCCUCCUCCCACCCUCCACUCUCUGAUAGGCCCCAGUGUGCGUUAUUCCCCUCUAUGUAUCCACGUGUUCUCAUCAUUUAGCUCCCACUUACAAGUGAGAAUAUGUGGUAUUUGGUUUUCUGUUCCUGUGUUUGUUCGCUUAGGAUAACGGCCUCCAGCUCCAUCCAUGUUCCUGCAAAGGACAUGAUCUUGUUCUUUUUAUGGCUGCAUAGUAUUCCAUGGUGUCUGUGUACCACAUUUUCUUUAUCCGGUCUACCAUUAAUGAGCAUUUAGGUUGAUUCCAUGUCUUUGCUAUUGUGAAUAGUGCUGCAAUGAAUAUACACAUGCACACAAAUGACUUUAGAUUAGGACAGACCCUCAUGGCCUCAUUUUAACUUAACCACCCCUGUAAAGACUUCAGAAGAUCAGGACUUCAACAGUGAAUUUGGGGGGACACAACCCAACCCAUAACAGAUGGACAGUCUCUCCCCCUGCCUGCCUUUGGUAUAUUAACUCAUAUUUUACCUAAGAGUAGAGUGGACUCUAUCUUAGGAAGGGUGGAAGCUGUGCCCUGGAGAGCCAAACCCUGACCAGAAAACCCAUUCAGAGGUGCUGGAGAUUCUAGGGGUGCUCCUCACACCCUGUGUCCGGGUGAUUCCCUUGCUCCAGGAGGCAGAGGUGCAGGAUGAACUCUGGCGUGCUUCCAUGCACUGUCUCUUAGGACCGGCUCAUUCUUAAUCUGACCAGCAUCUGCUUUACAUUUGUUUUUUCUACUUAAAAAUAUUAGCAGUCAUGGUCAGGUGCAGUGGCUUAUGCCUGUAAUCCCAGCACUUUGGGAGGCCAAGGUAGGGAGAUCACUUGAGGUCAGGUGUUUUGAGACCAGCCUGGCCAACAUGGAGAAACCCCAUCUCUACUAAAACUACAAAAAUUAGCUGGACAUGGUGGCAGGUGCCUGCAAUCCCAGCUACUCAAGUUGCAGUGAGCCAAGAUCAUGCCAUUGCACUCCAGCCUGGGUGACAGAGGGAGACUCUGUGUCAAAAAAAAAAAAAAUUGUAAUCAUGGACAUGGUAACCAAUCAAAUGCCACAAAAGAACUUAUAAUGAAAAGACCCCAUAUUCCAUCAUUAAAAAAUUACAUAGUGGGAUGUAUUUAAUGUGGCAUACAUUUGAAUGAACUCUCUUUUUUCCCAGCUUUAUGGAAGUGUUACUGACAAAAAAUGUUUACAUUUAUGGCGAACAACAUGAAGUUUUGAUAUAUGUAUACAUUGUGAAAUAAUUACCACAAUCAAGCCAAUUAACACAUCUACCACCUCACAUACCUGUCAUGUUUUGUGGAAGGAACAUUUAAAAUCUACUCUCUUAGCAAUUCUUUUUUUUUUUUUUUUUUUUUUGAGAUGGAGUCUCGCUCUGUUGCCCGGGCUGGAGUGCAGUAGCGUGAUCUCGGCUCACUGCAAGCUCUGCCCCCCAGGUUCACGCCAUUCUCCUGCCACAGUCUUCCGAGUAGCUGGGACUACAGGCGCCUACCACCAUGUCUGGCUAAUUUUUUGUAUUUUUAGGAGAGACAGCAUUUCACCAUAUUAGCCAGGAUGGUCUCGAUCUCCUGACCUCGUGAUCCGCCUGCCUCGGCCUCCCAAAGUGCUGGGAUUACAGGUGUGAGCCACCGUGCCCGGCCUCUCUUAGCAAGUUUUAAGAACACAAUACAUUGUUACUAACUAUACCCACCAUGAUGUACGAUAGGUCUCUAGAGCUCACUCCUCAUGUCUAACUGAAACUUCACACCCUUUGACCAGCAUUUCCCCAUUCUUCUCACCCCCGGGCACUGGUAACCACUAUCCUACUCUCUGCCUCUAUAAAGUUCAACUUUUUUACACUCCACCUAUAAGUGAGAUCAUGCAGUAUUUGUCUUUCUGAGUCUAGCUUAUUUCACUUAGCAUAAUGUCCUCCAGGUUCAUUCAUGUUGUUGGAAAUGUAUUUUUUAAGGCUGAGUAGUAUUCUGUUGUGUUAGUGAGGAUGUGGAGUAUAUAUAUCACAUGUGUGCAUAUACCACAUUUUCUUCAUUCAUCCAUCAAUGGACACUUAGAGUUUGAUGGCAUGUCUUGGCUACUCUGUAUAAUAAUGCAACAAAUGUGGACGUGCAGAUAUUUCUUCUAGAUACUGAUUUCAUUCCUUUGGAUAUAUCCCCAGUAGUGGGAUUGCUGGAUCACGUGGUAGUUCUAUUUUUAAUUUUUUGAGGAACCUCUAAAUUGUUUUCCAUAAUGGCUGGUCUAACUUACAUUCCCACCAACAGUACAAGGGUUCCUCUUUCUCCACAUCCUCACCGACACCUGCCUUUGGUCUUUUUGAUAAAAGCCUUUCUCAAGGUGUUAGGUGAUACCUCAUUUUAAUUUGUAGUUCCCCGAUGAUUAGUGAUGUUGAGCAUUUUUUCAUAAACCUGUUGGUCAUUUGUAUGUUUCAUUUGACAAAUGUCCAUUUAGGUUGUUUGCCCAUUUUUGAUCAAGUUAUUUGCUUUCUUGCUGUUGAGUUGUUUGAGUUUCCUAUAUAUUUUGGACAUUAACCCCAUAUAGGAUACAUGGUUUACACAUAUCUUAUUCCAUUCGGCAGGCUGUCUCUCCACUCUGUUGUUUCCUUUGCUGUGCAGAAGCUUUUUAGUUUGAUGCAAUCCCACCUGUGUUUGCUUUUGUUGCCUGUGCUUUUGGGAUCAUGUCUAAAAAAUCAUCAUCAAGGCUAAUACCAAAGAGCUUUUUCCCUAUGUUUUCUCAAAAUGGAUUAAAGACUUAAACAUAAAACCUGAAAUGUAAAGCCACAUUCCAUCAUUUUAAUCAGUCCCUGGCAAAUACUUACAACUCAUUUGCCCUGCUUGUCGCUCUCAUGCUUGCCUGGAAAAAUCCCUCCCCUGGUGUCUGCAUCUCUGCACCCACCCACACGUGUGAACCCAAACAGCCUGGAGACAAAGCCCAACCAGUGCCAAUGGGUGUCACUCUGCGUUGCUGACUGGACCUCAGUGGCCCCUAAUUAUUGCCAGCCAAUCCCACUGCAGUUUAUUAAUCAGCUGGCUCCUCCUUUUCCUGGAUACCAGCUCAUACUCCUCUGUCCUGGAGCCUCCAAUGCUCCUUCCUCCUGCUCUCACUCGAGGGGAGCUGGGUCCCAUUCCCAACUUACCUGGGACAUGGAAGCUGUCAGAAGAGAGUGCCUUUAUGCUCCCGUACCUCACCUCCCGUUUCCUACACAAGUCACUGGGUGUCUACCACAGCUUGUGUCCCCCUUCGUCUAUUCCAGGAUUUCACUCAGCCCUUAUCCAUUUUAAUAAGUCUGAUAUGUCCACACUUUGAAACUGCUUGGCCUAAAGAGGGUGAGGCUGUGCUUUGAUGCCAUGAGAAUUUCCUGAGCAGCCUUCUCCCGCCUCCUGUGGGGUCUGCAAGGGAAACCUGAGCAGGAAACCCCAGGCACCAGAGGGACGUUCAGCAGCCACUUUCAGUAAAAUGCCAUUGCCUAACAGCUUAAUUACGAGCUGAAAUGAAAAAAACAAAUAAACAAAUAAAACCCUAACCUCCUUUUCUAUGCUUAAUUCCAUUCCUAGUGACCUUCUUUGAUGGAAAUAGAGAAAUUCUGUUGUUGUAUUGAAGAAGUAUCAAAUUUCCCACAUGUGCAUUUCAGCUUCUCAGAACUCAUGGUUGCCAUGGGCUGUGGUGCAAGCUUAUCUGCCCCUGGCCCACACAAUGUCCAAUGUCAUGUCAUGGGACCCCUGCCACUUUGUGACAUAAAAUGUAAGAACAUUGAAUGCUACUGGCUGGGUACGGUGGCUCACGCCUGUAAUCCCAGCACUUUGGGAGGCCAAGACGGGCGGAUCACAAGGUCAGGAGAUAGAGAUCAUCCUGGCUAACACAAUGAAACCCUGUCUCUACUAAAAGUACAAAAAAAUUAGCCAGGUGUGGUGGCAUGUGCCUGUUGUCCCAGCUACUCGGGAGGCUGAGGCAGGAGAAUUGCUUGAACUCAGGAGAGGGACAUUGCAGUGAGCCAGCAUUGCGCCAUUGGACUCCAGCCUGGGCGACAGAGUGAACUCUGUCAAACAAACAAACAAACAAACAGAAAACACGUAAUGCUACUUUGAGGCUAAUGUAGACAAUAUGUGUUUCCCUGCCACAAGCCAGCCUACAUUUGGCUGUGCCAAGGUAGAGGGCAGGAGCUUGCCUGGAGUAGGCAAUACUGUGGGAUCCAUCAGGAAAGCCACCCCCUGGUCUGCAGAGGACUGUUCUGUGACCGAAGAGCUUACAGGAAAGGUCAAUGUCGACUCAAGGUUAACUUAGGUCAUUCAGUGUGUUUUGACUGAGAGUUUAUCACAUAUUGGGUGCAGUCCUAGGCAAGUGAAGGUAGUGUCACUGUCAACAAGGAUGUCACAGCCCUGCCCUCAUGUUGCUUAUAUGCCAGUGGGAGGGAAACAUGAAGACAGAUAAGCAGGCAAAUAACUAUGUGCAAUUGUAGUGGGGGCUGUGAAGAAAAUGAGCAUAGGCCUGAACCAGAGUGGCAGUGGUUGCAUUUUAGGGGUAUUGGUCAGGAGAGUGUCUCCGGAGGUUGACAUUGAAGCUGAGACCCAGUGGAUGAGAAGGGGCCACUUGAGUGGAAGACAUCAUCCUGGCCAAGGGCAGACCCAGAACAAAGACCCGAGAUGAGGCAGAGAUGGGUGAUUAUGAAACAGAAGACCCAUCAGUGUGGCCCCUGGAGCAGAGGGACCAGGGAGAGGCAAUGCAAUGAAGCUGGGGAGAAGGGCCUUGCAGCCAGAUGAGGAGUCUGGAUUUCAAUCUCAGAGAAAUGGGAAGCCCUUGGAAGGUUUGAGAAAGAGUGAGCCAUUGUCUGAUUUGUCAUCUAAGCAGUUUAGUCUUGCUGCUUUGUGUGAAUGGAUUCAAGGGGG
rnacentral:lncRNA from 1 species